UUGUAUUAAUUUUUUUUUCUUCUAGAUUCUUCCUUUAACUCACUCUAUAUCUCUCACUUACUACUUCAUUUUAUUUACUAAUUUUUUUUAUCACAUUGUCACACAUAUUUUAUUUUAAUAAAAUGUUCCUAAUUCAGGCAAGUUUGCUUUGGGGAUCUUCAAUUCUGCCUUUCUUCUUUCAACUUCGAGGAUUAUUUGAUCGCGUCUUUACAGGCCUUACGAGUAUAUUUAUGGACUUUAUGACGGAGCUUUGGAUUGAACACUUAGAAAAUAGGUACGAAGCUGAAGCGAAUAGGAGGUGAUUCUUGCUUCAAGUUAAUGUUUAUCGAAGUCUUUGGAGAUAGUUGCUUGGAUGUUUCGCAUAUCUUUACUUUUUUUUUAAUAAUUAUAAUGUUUUCGGAUCUUAAUCAUGCUAUUCUGAAAGUUUCGUACUCAUAUCACCAUAUUUUGGAGUUAUAACUAUGUUCAUGUUUUUGUUAUAUUCUAUAAAAGCUUGACUUUAAGACUUCA